UACGGGGGGGGGCAAGCGUUGUUCGGAAUUACUGGGCGUAAAGGGCUCGUAGGCGGCCAACUAAGUCGGAUGUGAAAUCCCCAAGCUUAACUUGGGGAACUGCAUCCGAUACUGGGAUGGCUUGAAUCCGGGAGAGGGAUGCAGAAUUCCAGGUGUAGCGGUGAAAUGCGCAGAUAUCAGGAGGAACACCGGUGGCGAAGGCGGGGUCUCUGGGCCGAUACUGACGCUGAGGAGCGAAAGCGUGGGGAGCGAACAGG
rnacentral:rRNA from 1 species